CGCCCCGGGCGCCCACCCGGAGCCCCGGCCCUGGGGCCGCCGCCCGCGCCAGGUGAGGUGGCAGCACGCCCUGGACCUCCCUGCAUUGCAGGCCGUCCUGAGGCUGGACAGCAAGGACACAAGAAAAUGGACUCUCUCCUCCUGAAGACCUGAAUGCCAGCUGCCAGCCACUAGCCAUGGUGCCAGCAUUUGCAGUCUGCUGGAAGAAAACAACAUCAAGAUGGGAAGAUGCGUCAAAGGGAGGUGAAAAACUGAAACCGCCAGCCGUUUGAGCUGCAGGCUGCACCAGAGCAGUGUGACCGACGCAGAUGGCAAGAGCACCGGGCAGCCACUUCCUCCUGCGUGCCAUGCAUCUUCCUCACACCAGCCAGCUUCCCAAGGCUGCAGGAAGUGGGGCCAGAACAGCCCUCCGGGUGUGUGUGGUGGGGCCUGAGCAGGGGCUGGCAGCUGUGAGGGUGAGAACAGAAGUCUGCAAGGUCCCUGCUGGGUCCUGGAGCCACCAGUGCCAGAGUCCCUGCCCGGGCCUGCCCAGGACCAGCCUGCAGCAGACUCACACUCAGGCCGGUCUCCCUGGACGUUGUGAGCCAUCGUACCAAAGGCUCAAGCCCAAGAAGCAAGCUGGAGCAUGGAGCCGAAUCUUUUCUCAAAGGAAAUGCAGUUGUGGUUUUGAGACGUUCAUAUUUCACAGCUGUGGUUGGCGUUUCCCAGGGUUCUCAGAGGUGAAUGCAGGGUCAGCUCCAUGUCGCCAAAUAAGGUUCACAGUGACCUUAGCAACAGACUUCACUGCCCAUUGGCUGCCACUGUCACCGCCUGCCAGUGCGGCCUCCCGAAGGCCAAUGCUCAAGCCGAGCUGCAGCUUCCACAUGUGCAGAGGUUCAGAGCCUCUGCCGGAAGCCACUGCCCUGGGGAGCAGCCACAGAUAGGUAGAGAGCCAGGACAAAGGUGGACCAGGUUGUGGGCAGGACUGCCCAGGUGCCCGAGUUUCAGAGUCCACCUGGCCAGCACUCCACCAACUGAGUGCUCACACGGCCCCAGACCAGCACUGCCAGCUUCACGACUGGUCUUCGCUUGCAGGACUAGACCCCA